rnacentral:tRNA from 1 species
GCCGGGAUGGCGGAAUUGGCAGACGCAAGGGACUUAAAAUCCUUUGAGGGUUUCCUCGUGCGGGUUCGACUCCCGCUCCCGGCA